AAUGUUUAAGUCCCGGAAACGGCUCUUCAGACAAGUCCACAAUAUUGAACUUCCCAUUACAAUUGAAUAGACGCCAGAAUUUAUGCGCGCAGCUCAGCUCAUAGAAAUGCAAUCAACGUAAAUGUCAUUGGCCCGAGCCUGUUAAGAAGUAGCUGUGGGGCUGACUAAAAAGUCAUUGGGCCAACCUGUGCGCAGGUGGGGCAAAUAGGAAAGAAAAAAAAACAACGUCAGCAAAUGGGAAAACUGUUUAAGAAACAGAACUCACUGCGCUGGACGCCCCAUUGACAAGGCAGUUUUAUUGUUAGAAAAAAAAGAAGAAAAACGAGAGCUGAAAAGUGAGUCAAACAAACAAAAACACAAACAAACAAAAACACAAACGGAAGCUGGCAAACAAGCGGAAGGCUCUGCCACUCAACUAAUGGCAGCAUAAUGCGUUUAUUGUGGAAUCACGAGCACAACAACAGCCACAGCAGCAACAGACAGUCGCAGAUGUGCGACCAGUUAGUCGCCGGGAAAAGCCCAGGGAAAGCCCCGCAGUGCCACACACACCCCCAAAAGCAAGCGAAGGGCGGAGCGCGCGCGAUAACCGAGCGCAAAUGUCAACGCAAAAGUCAAUCAGUGCGAGGUGGGGCAGGGCGGGGGCAUUGAGGGUCGCAGACUGAAACUUAAUAGAACCGUGUGCGAUGCCGCCUCCUCCCCCCCCUGCGAAAAACACGCACGCACUUUUCAAUGGGGCAGCAGACAGGCGGCAGACAGCGCCGCAUUCAAAAUCAAUUCAAUUGAAAUACAUUUUUUUCAUUCA